rnacentral:tRNA from 1 species
GGCCGGUUAGCUCAGUCGGUUGAGCAUGGUGCUGAUAACACCAAGGUCGUGGGCUCCAUUCCUGUUCCAUCCC